rnacentral:ncRNA from 1 species
UAGAGAACUGAGCCAACCCUAGUACGAGAGGAUUGGGUUGGGACAACCUAUGGUGUACCGAUUGUUAUGCCAAUAGCAGCGUCGGACAUCUAAAUUUGGUAUGGAAGAACUACAGUGCUGCGGGAAAUCCUCCUCUAUACAAGUUCUUGGAUGAGAUUUUUGAACAGAACUUCGAUAGGCGGGAGGUGUAAGCACCCGAGGUGUGAAGCCCGUUUUUUCUGGAAUAAUCUU